UGCAUUCACUACUGUAAGUCACUCUGGGUAAGAGCGUCUGCUAAAUGACUAAAA
rfam:Salmo salar isolate Sally breed double haploid chromosome ssa04, whole genome shotgun sequence.